AAUAGAUGACGCCGUUAAUUUUUUCUCACAAAUUUGACCAUUCGUCUUAUUCAAAAAAUUUACGUAAUUAAAAUUUAUUUUGUUAUGAGUUGUUUUAUCACUCAUAAUAUUUUAAGUGUGAUUUAUAUAUUAUAUAUUUGCAUAAAAUUUUUGAAUAAGACGAAUGGUUAAACAUGUAAGAAAAAACAACGGCGUCAUCUAUU
rnacentral:pre_miRNA from 1 species